UCGACGCGAAGUUUUCUUCGGAAGACGAGUAGAGUGGCGCACGGGUGAGUAACGCGUAAGUAAUCUGCCCUGGUAUCUGGGAUAACCCACCGAAAGGUGUGCUAAUACCGGAUACGCUGAGUAAUCAGGAAAGGUGGCCUCUUCAUGAAAGCUACUGUACCAGGAGGAGCUUGCGUACCAUUAGCUAGUUGGUAGGGUAAUGGCCUACCAAGGCAACGAUGGUUAGCGGGUCUGAGAGGAUGAUCCGCCACACUGGAACUGAAACACGGACCAGACUCCUACGGGAGGCAGCAGUGAGGAAUAUUGCGCAAUGGGGGAAACCCUGACGCAGCGACGCCGCGUGGAUGAUGAAGGCCUUCGGGUCGUAAAAUCCUGUCAGAUGGAAAGAAAUGUAGUAUGCCUAAUACGUGUACUAUUUGACGGUACCAUCAAAGGAAGCACCGGCUAACUCCGUGCCAGCAGCCGCGGUAAUACGGAGGGUGCAAGCGUUGUUCGGAAUUACUGGGCGUAAAGCGCGCGUAGGCGGUUUGUUAAGUCAGAUGUGAAAGUCCACGGCUCAACCGUGGAAGUGCAUUUGAAACUGACAGACUUGAGUACUGGAGGGGGUGGUGGAAUUCCCGGUGUAGAGGUGAAAUUCGUAGAUAUCGGGAGGAAUACCGGUGGCGAAGGCGACCACCUGGCCAGAUACUGACGCUGAGGUGCGAAAGCGUGNGGAGCAAACAGGAUUAGAUACCCNGGUAGUCCACGCCGUAAACGAUGUCAACUAGGUGUUGGGGCGGUUAAUCGUCUCAUUGCCGGAGCUAACGCAUUAAG
rnacentral:rRNA from 1 species